rnacentral:miRNA from 1 species
CUUUGGUAAUUUAGCGUUUGU